rnacentral:rRNA from 1 species
AACGUAGGAGACAAACGUUAUCCGGAGUUACUGGGCGUAAAGGGCGUGUAGGUGGUUUUGUAAGUCUGGCGUGAAAUUUUUCGGCUUAACCGGGAAAGGUCGUCGGAUACUGCAAGGCUAGAGGACGGUAGAGGCGUGUGGAAUUCCGCGUGUAGCAGUGAAAUGCGUAGAUAUGCGGAGGAACACCGAUGGCGAAGGCAAUCCCCUGGACCUGUACUGACGCUCAUGCACGAAAGCGUGGGGAGCAAACAGG